rnacentral:rRNA from 1 species
GACGAACGAGGGCGGAGGGAGGAAAAAAGGAAAGUGGAAAGGACAGGCCUGCUUUCCCGGGUGUAUUGCGGGUACUCGAGUGGCGAACGGGUGAGUAACACGUGAGUGAUCUGCCCCCAACUUGGGUAUAAGCCUGGGAAACUGGGUCUAAUUCCCGAUAGGACUGCAGGGUGGUGCCUGUGGUGGAAAACGAUUUUCUAGUGGUUGGGGAUGAGCUCGCGGCCUAUCAGCUUGUUGGUGGGGUAAUGGCCGACCAAGGCGGCGACGGGUAGCCGGCCUGGGCCUGUGGACGGCCACAUUGGGACUGAGAUACGGCCCAGACUCCUACGGGAGGCAGCAGUGGCUGAGCGUGCACAAUGGGCGGAAGCCUGAUGCAGCGACGCCGCGGUGGGGAUGACGGCCUUCGUGUUCUCCCCUCAGUUGGACCGCGAGGAAGCCUACUUCUGUGAAGGGUGGUGACGGUAGUGGUAGCCGAAGACCCGUCUCCCUACGUG